rnacentral:rRNA from 1 species
UAGGGAAUCUUCCGCAAUGGACGCAAGUCUGACGGAGCAACGCCGCGUGAGUGAAGAAGGAUUUCGGUUCGUAAAACUCUGUUGUUAGAGAAGAACAGCGCAUAGAGUAACUGUUAUGCGUGUGACGGUAUCUAACCAGAAAGCCACGGCUAACUACGUGCCAGCAGCCGCGGUAAUACGUAGGUGGCAAGCGUUGUCCGGAGUUAUUGGGCGUAAAGCGAGCGCAGGCGGUCAAUUAAGUCUGAUGUGAAAGCCCCCGGCUCAACCGGGGAGGGUCAUUGGAAACUGGUUGACUUGAGUGCAGAAGAGGAGAGUGGAAUUCCAUGUGUAGCGGUGAAAUGCGUAGAUAUAUGGAGGAACACCAGUGGCGAAGGCGACUCUCUGGUCUGUAACUGACGCUGAGGCUCGAAAGCGUGGGUAGCAAACAGG